rnacentral:ncRNA from 1 species
AUUUGUGCAAAGUUCUAUGUCGAAAACAGACAGACAGACUAUCCGUAUCUAUACUGUCUAGCGAAACCACGCCCAAGGUAACGGGCUUGGUAGAAUUAGCGAGGAAAGAAGACCCUGUCGGGCUUGACUCUAGUCCGACUUUGUGAGGAAACAUGAUGGAGUUAGAGUUGGUGGGGGGUCGGUGCUGCUUCAGUAGUACCUGGCAUCAAUGAAAUACCAUUGCUGUCAUUCUUUCUUUACUUAUUCAGUGAAACGCAGGAACGAAAUGGUAUUUUGGUGUAAGGCACAUGCUGGCAUACGUGGUCUAACGCUGCGUGUGUCGGUGUUUCAUGGUGAUAUCAGAUAAAUCGUGGUGCGUGCAGAUGUUUGCGAUGUUUGAGUCUUGAUGUGAUUCGCGACCCGUUCUGAAGAUCAUGUCAGCGGGAGAGUUUGACUGGGGUGCAGUACAUCUGUUGAAUUUGUAACGCUGAAGUGUCCUAUGCCUAAUCAUUAAAAUUUAUGCAAUUUUAUUCAAAACAAGUGUGAAUUCUUCAGCACUAUCCAUUUGUUACAUUUGCUUAAAAAUGAAUGUAAACCUGCUCUUGACCAUUAUUAGGAGAAUAAGUCUUGCUUGUUCGCUCAUUCGUUCGCUCACUACAAAACACAAAAUACUUUAUAAAUCAAAUUCACAAUUUACAAACUAGUUAGCUACUUGUGACGUACACACUUAGAACUAUUAAGAAGACAAUUGCAGCGAAGAAAAUUUUCUUUUCGACGAAGUCAUCAUCUAGGCUGUACAUUCGUGUAUUUAUAUUAAAUGGAUGGGAAAGUUCCAGAAUAAUUUCC